rnacentral:rRNA from 1 species
GAUGAACGCUGGCGGCGUGCUUAACACAUGCAAGUCGAACGGAAAGGCCAUGCUCUUGUGGGGUGCUCGUGUGGCGAACGGGUGAGUAACACGUGUGUAACAUGCCCCUAUCUUUGUGAUAUCUUCAGGAAACUCGGGCUAUUACCGCAUAGGAGCUCCUGCACCACGGUGGGGGUUGGUAAGUUGCGGCGGUGCGGGCUGGUCUCGCGGCUUAUCCGCUUGUUGGUGGGGUAGUGGAUUACAAAGGCUUUGACGGGUAGCCGGCCUGAGAGGGGGACCGGCGACAAUACUACUACGAUACGGCGCAGUAGGCUACGGGAGGCAGCAGUGGGAAAUAUUGCACAAUGGGCGGGAGCCUGAUGCAGCAACGCCGCGAGCGGGAUGACCGCCUUCGAGUUGUGAACCUCUUUCGCCGGAAACGAAGCGUGAGUGACGGUAAUGAGUAAAGAAGCACCGGCUAACUACGUG